rnacentral:lncRNA from 1 species
CAAGAUCAUGAGCAAUUAGGGCUCCAGACCAAGGGAGCAGAACCCAAGCUUCCCAGAAAACAGACUAGAAACAGAAGAAAAAUUGGUUUAUUGUCAGCUUCUGACCUUGGGUGGUCUGUGACUCAGUUUUAGCUUCUACACUAAACUGAUCUGGAAGCACAAUUGAAGGUUCAAGCCUACCUUGGACUCUGAGGCAAUUUUUGGUUUCGGAUUUUAGAACCCUAUACCAGCUCCUUUCUCCAAAACCCCAUUCCACAGGGUCUAAUGCCUCUCUGUUAGAUCAUGUUUUUUCCUGCUUUGCCUGGCAGGAAACUCUGCUUAACCUUCACCAUGUCUCAAAGUCUUAAUUGUUCCGCCAUUGGCUAGUCAUACUCUAAAGACCAGAAUAGCUAAAAUAGUCAUUUUUCCAGCCUCUUUUGAAUCUUUGGGAUGGCCACAUUACACAGUCUAACCAGUGAGACAAGAGUACAGUUGGCUGGUAUUGCCUCCUUUGCUUCCAUGAUUCUUCUGGACUAUAGUGCAAACUUUAUGGUUGGAGCAUGAGCAACCAUUUUGUGACCAGGAAGUGAUGCUCAUGAAAUAAAUGUGAAGAGAUUUGAAAAAGCAUCUCAAAAAAGAACCUACUUCUAUGUUUUUGUUUUUUGUUUUUGUUAUGAGGAAAAGAAAGUCCUAUUUAAUCAAUUCAGCUAAAUGAAAUCUAUUUGUUGCAACUGAAUGCAAGUCUAACUGCAGAGUAGAACCAGCAUAGCAAGCGUCUAGGAGCACAGGUCCUGGAGAAAGGAGAUACACAAUUGCACUCGGACUCCUGGCUCCGGCACCUACUAGCUAUAUGAUGCCACCUCAAACUCCUCACCUAUAUAAAAUUGAAAUAAUGGUAACAUUUGCUUCGUAGGGUUGUUGGGAGUUUAAAUGAUACCUUAAUUUUUUAGUAUUGUGACUGGCAUAGAGAAAAUUACUUCCCCCUUCAGUACUGUAAUUAUUACACUUAGGAACACUUGUACGUGCCUCCUAUAUGCUAGACACCAUUGUUAACUUUUAAGAAAACAUAUCCAGGUCACAUGUCUUAUGUGUUUAUCCAUUUUAAAUGAGUAAAUUAGGACAUUUCCAUCCUGGACAUGUGAAGCUGGGCUACACACAGACCAGCUUUUCCCCACAGGACCUGGAAUUCUCGAACAUCUGUCCGAGUCUUCAAAUGUUGCCAACAAAACCUGCACUUUCAGAGGUUUGGUCUACCAAGGUUCCCACUGAACGAACCAGAACUUUUCUCAGAAAUCUAGAGCUGAUGUGUAUGGUCAGCCCGAGACCAGCCUGGGCUCCUCAGGGUCAGGUCAGCUUAACGGAGGCUGCCCCACAGGUGAUCUGUCUUCAGAAAAGUAUUCUAGAUGAAAUCCUUUAUUUUCUAAUUUCCUGUUUUUUCUGGGAGGGAGAUGAAGGCUAACUGGUCACCAUCCUUCAUCUAUGACUCAUAUUUGCGGGUUUUUAAUUCAUCACUGUGAUUCUUCCCUGGGUUGAUUCCAAAAUCUCCUCUUUCUUCUUGCGGCGGUCAUUCAUAAUUGGGCAUCUGCUCUGCCCCACACCUGGGACUCAGUUCUCCAGAUUCUUCCCAUGUCUCACUCACUCUCAUCCUUCAGGGUUUAGCUUAAACCACAGUCCCACAGAGAAGCUGCCUCUCUAGCAGAACCUCUCACCUCCCAGCCUGCAGACUCACAGACUCCAUCACUUUAGCUGCCAAGAGAGGGUGCCAUGCUCACCUAACUGCAUAUGAGGUGUCCUUCAGAAUCAGACUUGGGUGGUAGAACCUAUCCUGCAUCCUGGCAGCAAAGAAAUCUGGAAGAAUCCAUUCAUUUCUACUUGAGUGAGCAGAAUUUAUAAUGUGGGCUCUUCUCAGUUCAGAAAAAGGGUGUCCAAAAAUGUGAAGGAACUACACACAUAGUCACUGUUCUCUAGGUGGGUAUGAAUCUUAUUUUAAAAAGGUAGGUGGUAAUUUCAGACAGAGAAACUAGCAUGAAUAAAGGUUCAAACAAUGCACUGUGCAGGGGCUCGUGUAUAGAACUCAUUGAGUUCACGUAGAUGGUCAUGAAGAUAAAUCUGCAUCAGUGAACAAAAUGUUGAGUGAAGCUAUCACAGGAUGCAUGACCCUGAACAUUAUUUCUGAGAUUUUUGGAAAUUUGGCCAAUAGAAGCUGGAACAACUGUGGUGAAAAACCUAUAGGAAGUUUUCAGCAUGCGUGAAUGUUGGUACCUCAGUCUUCCUGUGGGAAAGACUGACUCCUUUUAGUCUGGAGAGACAAGUCAGCUCCACCAGGAUCAUGUGUGGGUGUUAAAUCCUGCAGGUGGUAGGGAAUCUUUGAAAGGAUUUGAGCCCCAAAAUGGCAUUACUCACAACAUGCUCACUACGAUGAAACCAGAGCGAUGAGAGCUGGGUGAGAGGGGGAAAGAGAAUCAAGGAGUCAAGCAGCAGGAUACUCGAGAUUUAUGACUUCCUCUGAAAUUUCUGUGUUUAUGAGAAAAAUAUCAAAAUGCAAGAUCGAGUUCAGGCAAUGAGACGCCGGCUAGUCCAUCAGUUGGCCAUGUUCCUGCUAAUGGAGUAAUUUCAUUAUGUGAAAGUGGAAGUCCCAGGAUUGAUCUAGUGUAAGGAGACAUCAUCAUGGAAGGAAUCCAGUGGACUCGGAGUCUGACCCAAGUAUGAGGUUUGAGGAUUUUAGGAAAUACUUCACACACGGACAACGAGGGAAAGCUGAAAGCUCCUCUUUCCUUCUGGUCUAAACGUGCCCUGUUUGGGGCUUCAGGUCCUGUUCCGUGAGCGUGGAGUGUUUUAUUUCCAGCUGGGGUCAACCUCUCAGAGCCGCCGCCGCCCUCUGGGUCUCCGCCCUUCCCAAGGAAGGCAGUGAAGGGAUGCACACACACUGAGUCUUUAGCUGCCUGGGUCUCCAAUCCCAGUUCCCUUCAGGAUUCAUCCAAUCCCUCUGGGCCUCUGUGUCCUCAGUCUCAUCCUCAAUAAGGUAACAAGAGAACCUUCCUCGUUUAUCUGCACCUGUGUCGGGCCCUGGGCUAAGCCCACGGAAAGCUCCAGGCUCGGGGCCAGACACAGAGGCCUUCCGUGCUGCUCCUGUUAUUUGAUUAUGGGGCCAGGAGUGGAAGGAAAAUUCCAUCCCGAUCCCCUUGUUCUGUUUUCUCACUCCGCGUCUGUCCGUGAAGAUGUUAUCUCACGUUGUGGCCAUCAACUGCCACAUCAUAUCCGCUGCCAGGAAGGACAGGGAUUUUAUUAGUGUCUAUUUUGUUUUCUACUCCUCUUCUGAAACUGUUUUAUAAGGGACAUAUGGUACAUUUGUUCAGAGGUCCCCCCCAGAGGAAGUGAGGCUCUAACAAGAUGGGGCCUAUCAGCUAUUGACCACUACUCUCUUGGAGGACUCGCUCAGCCGUUGUGUCUCUGAGCCCCAGCGGCGAGGUUUUGAGAAGGGAGAGGGGAGAAACUGUGUUCUUGCCUUCACUCUGUCUUAGGUUGGUAGAGGAAGGGCCAGUGAUCUCCAGCCACAAAAUACAUGCCCGUCUAUGCACCCUACUCUUCUGGGAUUCAAAUAUUUUAAUAGUAAAAUCCUAGGCUGCCUGCCCAGCAAGAUGAUGUUAAAAAAUGCCUGGGGAUCAGCUCAGUUGCAAUAUUCAAUGGCACAUUUUUUUUUUUUUUAAAUCUGGAGGAUUUGCAGAUAUAGAAAUGGCUAAUUCUCAGCAAUUGAUGGAGCAGGAGGUACAGGUCCCAAAUCUAUAAAUGCAACUUUAGCUCACAAUUUACUCCAUUAAAUGCUGUAAAUGAUGCUAUGUGUCACUACCUUUGAAACAAAGCAUCAAGAACAUCAAGCCCUCUUGAAAAUGUGGUGGCUAAACAGCUGGCUAAGUUCACCCACAAGUUAAAUGGGUGCCAAAUUUAUACUUCAAUUCUAUAUACAUACUGACUUUUGAGACUGCAUAUAACAGAUCUGUAUUGCAGAUGCCAAUGAGGUAAUAUAAUGAUGGUCUUUGUAUAAUAAGAGGACAAAGAGCUAACUGCAACAGAAGAAAAGUAAC